UACUCCUACGGGAGGCAGCAGUAGGGAAUCUUCGGCAAUGGACGAAAGUCUGACCGAGCAACGCCGCGUGAGUGAAGAAGGUUUUCGGAUCGUAAAACUCUGUUGUUAGAGAAGAACGUUGUGUAGAGUGGAAAAUUACACAAGUGACGGUAUCUAACCAGAAAGGGACGGCUAACUACGUGCCAGCAGCCGCGUAAUA
rnacentral:rRNA from 1 species